GCUGGGCGCGGUGGCUCACGCCUGUAAUCCCAGCACUUUGGGAGGCCGAGGCGGGAGGAUUGUUUGAGUCCAGGAGUUCAGGACCUGCCUGGGCAAUAGAGUGAGAUCUUGUCUCUA
ensembl:misc_RNA Metazoa_SRP Metazoan signal recognition particle RNA